AGGGGCUUCAGUAAAGAUGGUGAAUGGGGAAUUAAAAGCCAGAGAGAGCUGAGCAGAGAGGAGGAGAGAAGCCUGGAGGAAGCUUCAGGCAACCUGCCCCUCCCUCUGGGAAAUCCCUGAGCAUGAAGCCAGAGGAUGACAGAACCUUCAGCCUGCAAGAGAGCCUGGGAGAAUCCAUAACGUCCACCAGCAGCCUGGACACCCUGUCCUGAGACCCAAGGCAGCUGUGUGGGGAACAGUCUGGAAUGGAUCACUUGACCUUGGACAAAGGCUUCAGCUUCAACCACUUAAAUUUGACAAACACCAUCAAAUCCUACGAUAUCUUUCUUCACAAAAGAAAUCCUGUGUCUCAUCCUAACAAAUACCUGGGCUAUACUGCACCCUUCCAACUUGACUCCUGCCCUGCCUCCUUCGGUUUCUUCUACAGCCUUCCCUGGAGUCACUACCUUCUACACAGUGCCUAAGAGCGAGCCCAUGAAACAUUCAUGGUGGCUAAUCCACUGUGGAGGACCUGCUGAUGCCUGUCCUGAUAGAACUGGCAGGCCCUACAUGGUGGGAGAACCAAGCCCUACAAGUUGUCCUCUGACAUCUACCAGUGCCAUGGUGCGCCUGUGCACAUGUUAAAUAAUCUCUACAAAAUCAUCAUAGGGACAGCAAGGAAUCCCAAAGCGGUUUGACUUGAACACACGUCAAAGAGUCUUCCAAUAACUUCUGGGCCGUGCUAUUGGACGAUCUCAGAUGCACACACUGGAGCAGGCUGGACCUCGGGAAAGGAAAAUGGUUCACCACCUCGUGCUUCAAGUGCUCAUUGACCUGGGUAGUUAGUGUACUAGGCAGUUAGACCAGAAUAGUUUGGGCAUCUGUCAUACUCUGUUAGUGGCAUGAGGUCAAGGAUGAGGGAAUGGUAUGGAUGUUUCUAGAGAUCCACAAUCACUUACCUCAUUUUGUCUAAGGGGUUGAGUUUUCAGGGUCUAGGAUCUUUUAAGAAAAUUUUGUGGGGCUGGAGAGAUGGCUCAGUGGUUAAGAGCGCUGACUGCUCUUCCAGAGGUCCUGAGUUCAAUCUCCAGCAACCACAUGGUGGCUCACAACCAUCUGUAAUAAGAUCUGAUGCCUUCUUUUGGUAUGUCUGAAGCUACAAUGUACUCCAUAC
ensembl:lncRNA